rnacentral:rRNA from 1 species
GUUUCCGUAGGUGAACCUGCGGAAGGAUCAUUGCACACACAAGUGGCAGCCAACCCGCGGCGAACGAACACAUUGUCCCCCUCGGUGGGUCGUGGCGCCUCGCGGCGUCGCGGCCGGCCGGCUCCCUUCGUCACGAACUCGUGGCGUCGGGUUUCCACCACGAUGCCUUCACCUUGACCGAAUGACUGAGUCCCUUUUUUUUAUACUUGGGAGGAGUGAUGAGUUCCGGUCCGCCUUGCUUUGCCGCGAGGGGGGCCGGCGCUGGUUACCUUGCGAGUUGUGAAAACAUUUUAUAAAUAAAAACAACUCUCAGCAACGGAUAUCUUGGCUCUUGCAACGAUGAAGAACGCAGCGAAAUGCGAUACGUAGUGUGAAUUGCAGAAUUCCGCGAAUCAUCGAGUCUUUGAACGCAAGUUGCGCCCGAGGCUUGUCCAAGGGCAUUUCCGCUAGAGCGUCACCGCGCCCCCCCACCGAUCCCCACUCGCCACACGUGGCGAGUCGGGUCGAGUGAAAGUGGCCGUCCCCCGGUGGGGCCUUCGAAGGAAGGCCUCUGUCGAGGGUGGGCUGAAAUGGAAGGAAUCGGGCCGCCGUGGUGACACAGUCCGCGAUCGGGUGAUCCGAGCUCCUUCGGGAGUCCGGAGUUAUUUCUAAGUGCGUGGCUGCGUCCCCCAGUUGGCUUUGGUGUUACCUCCUGCAGGUCGAGCGCGCCCACGCGGCGCGCGUCACGCAUCAGACCUCUAAUCGGAAAAGACUACCCGCUGAG